GAGAGUUUGAUUCUGGCUCAGGACGAACGCUGGCGGCGUGCUUAACACAUGCAAGUCGAACGAGACGAUUUAGAAGCUUGCUUUUAUUGAGUCGAGUGGCAAACGGGUGAGUAACGCGUAGACAACCUGCCGCAAAGAUGGGGACAACAGUCCGAAAGGACUGCUAAUACCGAAUGUUGUAUCUCCUCCGCAUGGAAGAGAUAUUAAAGAUGGCCUCUACUUGUAAGCUAUCGCUUUGCGAUGGGUCUGCGUCUGAUUAGCUAGUUGGUGGGGCAACGGCCUACCAAGGCGACGAUCAGUAGCCGGUCUGAGAGGAUGAACGGCCACAUUGGAACUGAGACACGGUCCAGACUCCUACGGGAGGCAGCAGUGGGGAAUCUUCCGCAAUGGGCAAAAGCCUGACGGAGCAACGCCGCGUGAGUGAAGAAGGUCUUCGGAUCGUAAAGCUCUGUUGUCGGGGACGAAUGUUGAGGCCUAGAACAUAGGUUUCAAAUGAC
rnacentral:rRNA from 1 species